GGCUUCUACGGGGGGCAGCAGUGGGGAAUCUUGCACAAUGGAGGAAACUCUGAUGCAGCGAUGCCGCGUGAGUGAAGAAGGCCUUUGGGUUGUAAAGCUCUUUCGUCGGGGAAGAAAAUGACUGUACCCGAAUAAGAAGGUCCGGCUAACUUCGUGCCAGCAGCCGCGGUAAUACGAAGGGACCUAGCGUAGUUCGGAAUUACUGGGCUUAAAGAGUUCGUAGGUGGUUGAAAAAGUUGGUGGUGAAAUCCCAGAGCUUAACUCUGGAACUGCCAUCAAAACUUUUCAGCUAGAGUAUGAUAGAGGAAAGCASAAUUUCUAGUGUAGAGGUGAAAUUCGUAGAUAUUASAAAGAAUACCAAUUGCGAAGGCAGCUUUCUGGAUCAUUACUGACACUGAGGAACGAAAGCAUGGGUAGCGAAGAGGAUUAGAUACCCUCGUAGUCCAUGCCGUAAACGAUGUGUGUUAGACGUUGGAAAUUUAUUUUCAGUGUCGCAGGAAACCGAUAAACACACCGCCUGGGGAGUACGACCGCAAGGUUAAAACUCAAAUGAAUUGACGGGGACCCGCACAAGUAGUGGAGCAUGUGGUUUAAUUCGAAGAUACGCGCAGAACCUUACCAACACUUGACAUGUUCGUCGCGACUCUAAGAGAUUAGAGUUUUCGGUUCGGCCGGACGAAACACAGGUGCUGCAUGGCUGUCGUCAGCUCGUGUCGUGAGAUGUUGGGUUAAGUCCCGCAACGAGCGCAACCCUCACUUUUAGUUGCCAUCAUUAAGUUGGGCACUCUGAAAGAACUGCCAGUGAUAAGCUGGAGGAAGGUGGGGAUGACGUCAAGUCCUCAUGGCCCUUACGUGUUGGGCUACACACGUGCUACAAUGGCAUCUACAACAGGAAGCAAAACGGCAACGUUAAGCAAAUCCCGAAAAGAUGCCUCAGUUCGGAUUGCACUCUGCAACUCGAGUGCAUGAAGCUGGAAUUACUAGUAAUCGUGGAUCAGCGUGCCACGGUGAAUGCGUUCCCGGGUCUUGUACACACCGCCCGUCAAGCC
rnacentral:rRNA from 1 species